GGCCCAGUGGUCUAGUGGUAGAAUACAUCGUUCGGAGGAAAUCCCCAUUCCCAAAGGGUGGUUCCCAAAAGGGGGCCAUCUGCAAAAGGAUGGAGUCUCGAUGUGACCCGCGUUCGAUUCGCGGCUGGGCCC